AGUGACUGGGGGACAAAAACCAGCAGGAUCUACUGUAAGGAUUGUGUUCCAGGGACUUUGCCAGUUUUGUUGGAUUAGAAUGUAGGCUCCCUCAUUGGACUGGAGAAGAAGACAAAUAGAAUUGCUGCAGGCUGUGCAAAAUGAAGACUGUCAUAGCAAGGAUUCAAGGGGAGUUUAAAGAAGACUGCUUCCCAACUUUAAGGAGCUGGAAUGCCUGACAGAGGGUUUGGACAUCAUUCCGUGUAGUGAGAAAGAAGAAAACUGCCUCAUUCAGUGCAGAGGUUGGAUGGUGCUCAAGGAAACAGCUACCACAUGUGAUGGAAGAAAUCCAAGUUAAACACUUUCACCAGAGCAUGCUCCAAGAUAGAUGACUAGGCCUCAGGCUUGGCCAAUACAAUACAUUUCCAUUCUCUAUUUAUUUUUGUAGUUCAAAGAUCUGGCAGUAACCGAUUUGAUGCCUGCCAUCAGGACCAGUACACUUCUGAUUACUGCCGUGAGAUUUUCAAGCCCACAGACAGCAUGUACUCCAGCAUAUGUCAGCUACCAAGAUAGACUAUGUACAAAUAGCAGGAGGAUUCUCUGCAAAUGGAAGCUGGCUUUUUUCUUUCACUUUGAAACCUCUGAUGAUAGGCUGCCAACUUGCAGACCUUGCUUAAAUCACAGCAACCACAUAAAAGGGUUUUUUUUGUUUAUCUUAGGUCAUUUAGGAAACCAGUGAUAAGUUUGCCGUGAAAAAUUCCAUCUUCUCCCCAAAGUUGGCAUGUUCAUCCCAAGCUACAGGCUUUGAUUUCAUUUUAAGUACAGUUAUGCCAUAUAGAGCUUUCCUUUAUGGGCUUUCCUUUCCUACUAGCAAAUGAUUUCUUUCCCCUCAGGAACAUAGUAUAAGUUAACUAGCAGGUCUUAGAAAACAAAGGACAACUACUUCAUCCCCAUACAAAAGGGAUGGUCAAACAGUGCCUGGUUCAAGAUUCUAAGUGGAAGACUGGGCAAAUGUAUAGGAGACAGAGUGGAAGGAAUGGCUGAAGUAGAAUCAGUGGCCCCUUGCGUGUGUCCCUGUAGAGUGGGGGAGGACAGGAUGGAGAAGAACCUUUAAUCCCUACUCUGGCUUCUCAUGCCCUGCCACUUCCACAUUGUCUGCAAUAAGCUGGGCUCAGCUAUGUAGGAGGUGAUUGAUUCCUACCUGGCACCCUCUUUGUGUAAAGCAACUGGACUGCUUCUCCUGCCAAAGACCUCUGAAGUGUGGGGCAAAUCCAGCCCCAGCCUCCACCAAUCUGUUGUUUGCUACAGUUGCAGAAAAAACACCCAUCUGAGGAACGCUUGUGAACACUUACAUUACCUUAUGUUCAAACGCAUUCCCCCUUCUAAUAAGAAGCCAUCAGACUACUGUACAGCAAAAAUUUAUUAGAGAAUAGACUCUUGAUUUUUACAAACACAUGCUUUACAUUGCUCCUUGAAUAGUCCCAUUGAAACCAAUAGGAUUGCUCAUAUGAGUAAAGUUAAGCAACUGCAAGAUCAGGACCUAACAGAUUAAUUCAGGUAUUAUUUUGCUGGUGUUAAAAAAAAGUAGUACACGCACAAAGAAAAUAAACAUUCAACCCAACAGAUAAAAUUACUGCAAAUGUAUCUUCUAUUAUCUAUUUUAGCUACAGUUUUCCACUGAUUAUGUGGAUAAUUGAAAAUUUUACUACUGUUCUUAUAAAUGUGAGUAAUUUCUUUCUGUCUUGUGUCAGCCAAAGACUGUUGGAUUCCCAUGGUGUAAUGAUCCCUGUUGUGGUUGUCUGCAAAGAUUUUGGUUGUUUGGUUUUGUUCUCAUUUGUUCACUGAUGCUUCAUAAAGCUACUACAGUUUCCCACACUUUCCCCCCCCUGAUAAUCUUUCAUUGUUAACAUACAUGAUGUUAUGUGAAGGAUUGAAAGCCACAGGGGGCAAGGGGAAGAAUAAAGAUGUUGAAUUGAUCUGAGGCUUGUGGGUUUAGGGUGCUGUCUGUGAUAUAUAACGGAACAUGUGUUGGAGAAGAAUGUUGGCCACAGGUCACUACAGAACCUUUGGAGAAGGAUUUGGUAAGAGUGAUAUGGGUGAGAGACAAAUUGUGGACAGGUCUGAUGGUGGUGGGUUACACAGAGUCACAAAUGUCAGACAAGGGCAUGAGUGCAGGCACAGAGGGAAAUAUUCUUUUGACUUCUACAGAAAGGAGCAUAAUUUUCAGACUCAAGAUUAUUAUUUUCAAUACAACCAUUUUUCCUCCUGAGAUCUAGUUUAUAUUACCAUGUCCACUUUUGACUGCUCAGUUCUCCCUAUAAUUCAAUGUUCCUCUCUUAAAAAUUGCUGAGAUCUCAUUGCAGAGAUCACAGCACAACAUCAUUUUUCAUCUCUACUAUAUCCUGUUUAGUCUGGGCUUGUUCAUGUUCAUAAGAAUACUUGAAAUACUGUCUUGCAGAAUAAUCUAAUGAAUAUACAAAAGUGACAUGCAAUAAUUUCAGUUUUCAUGGGAGAUCACAUGAUAUCUUUCACAAAAACUCACCAUGUUGUGUCCUCGUGCCAAUUUAUCCCUCUGAGUAAGAUGGCGUUCUCCUUAGUGAGAAAGAUAAUGAUGCGAUUCUAUUAUAAAUCUCACAAUAUCUUGCAAAUGUGCAAUUACUCUUCACAAGUGCCCAGAUGGGGAUUAUAUCUCAUUAUAUCAAGUGCUGUGCAAAAAACCAAAAUGUCUGUCUCUAAUUUAUGGGCUUGGAAGCAUCAGAAAGAUCACAUCCACUGAUGAAUAAACCACAAAUGGUUCAGAUUGAAUAUGUACCCAAAUGAUUGCAUGCUUAUCUUAACCUUGUCCAAAAUUUGUAAGCCUCUUGAGUAUGCAAAACUAGGCUAAAGCCACAAUAGCUUCCUCAUAAGGUUUCAAGUGUAUCCUGCUUUCACUUGUGUUGGAAAUGUGUCUGAAAGACAGUCCUUCUGGUAGUACAUUAGCACUUUCAUUUCUGAACCUUUUCCUAUCCAGGAAGUACAGUGUGAAAAUGGAAAAUGUUUUUUAAAAUAUAAUUUCAGAAAAAGUCUGUUUCGGAUAAGUUUUAAAUAUUGAGUAAAGAUUUGUAUUGUAUUUCCUGGUUCACCCAGGAAUGUCCAGCCUUUUUUAUUCAAGCCUAAACAGAACUCUCUAACUCCUAGCAUCUUUUUCUAACACAAAAAACAGUCCAAUUGCUUCUAUUUAGAAUUUCAAAACACACUCACUACAUAAUUCUUUUCCUUCUUUUCCCACUGCAGCAUUCUGUAGAUUUACUUUAUCAUUGGACUGUCUCUCUAGAGAAACCACUAGUUACCAAUCUGCAAACUUUGCUUAUUUCAAUUUAAUUUGCCUCUGCUAUAGAACAUUUUGGGAGUUUAUCCCAAAGGAAGUGCCCAUAGCAGACAACCUCAAAUGAAGGCAAAGGAAUAAAAUACGUAGAUCUUUGUAUUUUACUGCUGUACUCAGAAUAAUUGUUAAGAGGUUCAAUUUCAAUUCUCUCUCAGCCUCCCCUCCCACCCCACUCCCCAGUUUUGGGGAAGCCGAUAUGCUAACAUUGGGAAAGAAAACUAAACCUUUUUUUGUUCCUUAGCUCUUUUCUGUAGAGACCACAGUUUAGCCUUUUGGGGAUUUGGAUAUAAUAUUAUUUGGAGGUAAGUCUCUGAUAGGAGAGUCACAAUAUCUGUAAAGAAAAAAAGUUUUAGGAAAUCUCUCUCUCAUUUUCACACACAAGUUAUAACCCUUGAAACAUUUGAGAGUGUUAUCAGUACUAAGUCUUUUAAAGACUAUAUGUUCAGGAUUCCCCCUCCCCAACCAAUUUUAGUACUUGUUACGAUCAAAUUCAAAUGCAAAAAUAUAAUUAUGGGUGCACACAUACAUGCACUUCCCUGUCUCUGUAGAAUGGUGUCCAAACCUUCUUCUGGACACACAAACUCUGUAAAGUUGGGAAGCAAGUGAUUCAUAGUCCCACAGUCAUUCAAACUCCCCUUGCAGAAUUGUUAAUUAAGUUCCAUUUACUGGAUUUUUAUCAGCCUUAAUGAUACAUAAACCAGAGAUAAUGAAGCCUGAUAUUCAUAUCAGCUUGAGUUUGUAGGGAUGACAGUUAGAACCCCCCUUCCCCUU